AACAGGAUUAGAUACCCUGGUAGUCCACGCCGUAAACGAUGUCGACUUGGAGGUUGUGCCCUUGAGGCGUGGCUUCCGGAGCUAACGCGUUAAGUCGACCGCCUGGGGAGUACGGCCGCAAGGUUAAAACUCAAAUGAAUUGACGGGGGCCCGCACAAGCGGUGGAGCAUGUGGUUUAAUUCGAUGCAACGCGAAGAACCUUACCUACUCUUGACAUCCAGAGAACUUAGCAGAGAUGCUUUGGUGCCUUCGGGAACUCUGAGACAGGUGCUGCAUGGCUGUCGUCAGCUCGUGUUGUGAAAUGUUGGGUUAAGUCCCGCAACGAGCGCAACCCUUAUCCUUUGUUGCCAGCGGUUCGGCCGGGAACUCAAAGGAGACUGCCAGUGAUAAACUGGAGGAAGGUGGGGAUGACGUCAAGUCAUCAUGGCCCUUACGAGUAGGGCUACACACGUGCUACAAUGGCAUAUACAAAGAGAAGCGACCUCGCGAGAGCAAGCGGACCUCAUAAAGUAUGUCGUAGUCCGGAUUGGAGUCUGCAACUCGACUCCAUGAAGUCGGAAUCGCUAGUAAUCGUGGAUCAGAAUGCCACGGUGAAUACGUUCCCGGGCCUUGUACACACCGCCCGUCACACCAUGGGAGUGGGUUGCAAAAGAAGUAGGUAGUUUAACCUUCGGGAGGGCGCUUACCACUUUGUGAUUCAUGACUGGGGUGAAGUCGUAACAAGGUAACC
rnacentral:rRNA from 1 species